CACGAAACGUUCCUUCGCCACAACAGCAGCCUGACUAAGUACAUUAUAUUUAUUGUAUUUUGGGAUUUAUUAUAAAAACAAUAAAUAUUUGCGUAUUUUUAUCAUCAAUCAUAAAAAUACAAUAAAUAUAAUAUAUUUAGUUUGGUUGCUGUGGUGGCGAACAAACGUUUCGUG